UAAAACUGAAGGACAUGAGCAUAA
rnacentral:piRNA from 1 species